CUGCUCGCCUCUGGGCUGGGAGAAAAGGAGCAAGGGUGUGGUGUGGGUGAGAGGACGGGCUGGGGAAUCCAGCUCCGCAACCUGCGGGAGCCGAGGAUUUCUGACCUGCACCCGGGGCAGGCUGGUGGCCAGGUUUGUCUGAUGUGUCCCUUUACUGCAUGCUCUUGAAGGAAUACUACACAGGUGAAGCUUCUCAGGAUAUCACCUCUAAAGCUACACAGUACUCACUCCAUCAUUUGUGUAUGCCACAGUUCAUUCAACUGAUUGUCACGACUGGACAUUUAAGACCUUGCACUUUCGAGGCAGGCACCGGAACCACUGAGCUAAAUCCCUGGCCCCUCAUCACUACUUUAAAUGAAGAACUUGGACUUGCCGCCCCAUUGCAUGAGUACUGUGUCCUGUCUGCAGAUGCCCAGGUGACAGGUGGACAACUACCAAGUAACUCUUUCCUAACAGUCAUUCUGCCAGCCCAAGUGGAAGGCAUAAGAUCUCCCACUGGGGACCAAUAUAUCUAUGUUGCUUUCCAGUAUUUACUGUCUGCAAAAUUCUUUGCUGAUAUGUAUGAAAAGAGUUAUUUAUCCCAGCACUCGGGAGGCUGAGGCAGGAGGAUCGCUACAAGUUUGAGGCUAGCUUGCACUACCUAAUGAGUUCAAGGCCACCCUAAACUACAUAGUAAAACACUGUCUCAACCAACGCCCCCUUGCCAAAAAAGAGGUAUCUAUAAAUCCCUAGAAAAGUUCUGUAACUCUCAAAUUUAUUUCCUUCACCAAGGCUUCAAAGCUGAAUUAUGCAUCAGAAUCUUUUUAUUUAAUAUAAGCCAUAUCAAAGAUGCUGACUUGGCCAAAGCUGAAUUCAUUAAUCUUAACAGAAAAAAGUUAUUGAGUAGAAUUAAAUUUGAAAAGUCUUGGCGAAUUUUAGUUGUCUUUGAGAGAAGCUUACUUUCCUUGAAAAGAAUGUGUUUAAGUACAUUUGUAAGAAAAUACCUUUGUGAAACAGGAUUUCCUAUAAUAGUAACCAACAAAGCAAAAUCUCAAAAUCAACUGGAUGCUCAACUUGCCAAACUCUAUAGGUGUAAAAGGUCACCCUAUAAUUUAAUGUUCUUAAGCUAAGGAACAACAGCUAUCAUAUUGAUGUCCUGAAAUACAAAAUUCAACUCUAAUUUGCUUAGGAUUUAAAUGUAUUAUCUCAUUAUUUAAUAUACUGGUAAAAAAUAUAUCAUUACUAUAUCACAAACUUGUUCUAAUGUUGUAACUGUAUUUUGACAUAGCUGGUUUUCUCUGUAAUCCUAUAUACUAUGCUUUAUGUAUAUGAUAAAAUGGAUAUUAUAAAAUGUAUAUUAUAAAAACAAUAUCCUAAUAAAAGGUCCACGGGCUUCAGACUGCCUAAGGGCUGCACAACAUAAAACAGAUUAAGAACCCUCAACCAAAUGUGAUAGCUUUAAGACCAGAAGAGUAAUAUGUCAAUAAACACUUCCUUG